rnacentral:rRNA from 1 species
UACGUAGGGGGCAAGCGUUGUCCGGAUUUAUUGGGCGUAAAGAGCGUGUAGGCGGCCUGACAAGUCUGCUGUGAAAACUCGAGGCUCAACCUCGAGAUGUCGGCGGAAACUGUCUGGCUGGAGUCCGGAAGAGGAGAGUGGAAUUCCUGGUGUAGCGGUGAAAUGCGCAGAUAUCAGGAAGAACACCUACGGCGAAGGCAGCUCUCUGGGACGGUACUGACGCUGAGACGCGAAAGCGUGGGGAGCGAACAGG